rnacentral:rRNA from 1 species
AUUGAACGCUGGCGGCAUGCUUUACACAUGCAAGUCGAGCGGCAGCGCGGGGGCAACCCUGGCGGCGAGCGGCGAACGGGUGAGUAAUGCAUCGGAACGUAUCCUCGAGUGGGGGAUAACCCAGCGAAAGUUGGGCUAAUACCGCAUGAGCUCUGAGGAGGAAAGCGGGGGACCUGCGAGGGCCUCGAGCUGGGGGAGCGGCCGAUGUCCGAUUAGCUAGUUGGUGGGGUAAAGGCUUACCACGGCGUCGAUCGGUAGCUGGUGUGAGAGGGUGAGCGGCGAGAUGGGGACUGAGAGACGGCCCAGACGCCUAGGGGAGGCAGCAGUGGGGAAUAUUGAACAAUGGGAGGACGCCUGAUGAAGGAACGCAGAGUGCGGGAGGACGGCCUUCGGGUUGGAAACCGGUUUCGCCUGUGACGAAGAGGGAGUGACGGUAAUGGGUAAAGAAGCAGGGGCUAAGUACGUG